AAUGAAGCGUAUAACCCUAUGUGGAUGCCUAGACAAAAGUGAUAAAGGACGUAUGCAUAGAGAGGAAACGAAAAGCGGGGAUCAUAGCCUCAAAUAACUAAUCCCCGAUAUCCUAGGAUAAAUUCAAAUAUUUCUAUUUGUAAAUUAUUUUAUUAUAAGAAUUAGAAAAAUUAUAAUAUUUUUUUAUAUUAUAAUUCUUCAUUGCGAUAAAAAAAUUUUAGUGUAGUAAAGAAAUUUUUUUGCAAUUAUAUAAUCCUCAAUAAUUAUAUUUAAUUUUUAUAAAUAAGAUCUUUUAUCGAUAUUAAUGAAAUAGAACUCAGUGAACUGAAACAUCUAAGUAGCUGAAGGAAUAAAAAUCAACCGAGACUCCGUUAGUAUUGGUGAGAGAAUGCGGAAUUGGCUAUUUCUUUUUAAAGAUAUUGAAGUACAUAAAUUAUCGUUGAGUCGAAAAAAGUGAGAUACAUCACAGUAAGGAGGAGGCAAUUAAGUAAUUAAAAAUGUACCUCCGAAGAUAAUGACUUGAAAACGUCAACCUAAGAAGGUUAUAGUCCUGUAGUUGGUUAAUAAUUUUAUUAAUCAUCUUUACUUGUGAGUAUUUUAUUGUAUAUUUGAUGGAAAAAUAUUAUAAAUAUAUUUAUAUAUUUAGUUAUUAAGAAUUUCUUUGUAAUUAAAGCGGGAGUUAACCUGUUUGAAGAUAGGGGAACCAUCCUCUAAGCCUAAGUAUCACUUUUGAUCGAUAGUGAACUAGUACCGUGAGGGAAAGGUGAAAAAAUUGAAAACUGAAACAGGGGGUUUACAAGCACUAAAAGCUUUCUCGUACGAACGAGGCCUGUUAUUUAACCAUUUUACCCAAUAGAUUAUAAAAUAAAAAUAUAUCUGCAAAAUGGUGUAUACAAUAAAAAUAAAUCUGUAAGAUGGUUUGUAGCAGAAGAGUAAUUGGGUGCCUUUUGUAUAAUGAGUCAGCGAGUAAACAUAAUAUGCAUAGCUUAAGCUAUUAAGUGGAGGCGUAAAUAAUUUGAAAUAAAUAGUAUGUUGUGUUUUACCCGAAACUAGGUGAGCUAGUCAUGAACAGGUUGAAGUAGUGAUAUAAAACUAUGGAGGACCGAACUCACGUCUGUUGCAAUAGGCGGAGAUGAUUUGUGAUUAGGAGUGAAAGGCUAAUCGUACCUAGAGAUAGCUGGUUUUCUGCGAAAUCUAUUGAGGUAGAGUGGACGUUUUUUUAUAAAAUUUGAAAUUUAUAAAGUAUGAAAAGAGGGGUCGAGCGACUUUUUGGGUGAGGGUGGUCCAAAGCUUUACUGAAUCCAAGAAAACUCCUAAUACUCUUUGCAUAAACGUUUAAACAGACUAUGGGCGCUAAGGUCCGUAGUCGAAAGGGAAACAACCCAGAUCGAAGGCUAAGGUUCCAAAGCAAUUUUUUAGUGGGAAAGGUAGUAAUUGGGCUAUGACAACCAGCAAGUAGGCUUGGAAGCAGCCAUCUUAUAAUGAAAGCGUAAUAGCUCACUGGUCUAUGUCUGAUUGCGCCGAAGAUGUAACGGAGCUUAAGAAAUUCGCCGAAGCCGCGAUUAAUUUACAGGAUUUAUUUAUCAUAAGAUCUAUUACAGAAUCUCUUAUAAGAGAUUAUAAAAAAUUGUAAAAGAAAACUGUGAACUUAAAUUUAGAUUGUAUUUUAAGGUAGCAGAACGUUCUGUAAGCCUCAGAAGCUCAUUUGUGAAGAAGAGUUAAGGUAUCAGAAGUGAGUAUGCUGACAUGAGUAACGUAAAAUCAUGUGAGAAUCAUGAUCGUCUUAAGUCCUAGGUUUUCUAUUCAAUGUUUUUUAGAAUAGAGUGAAGCGGUCCCUAAGAUUUGGCUGAACAGCCUUUAAAUCAAUGGGUAAGAGAUUUUUUAUCUUAAGACAGUCUGUGACGAAAAGAUUUCUUUUUUGAAAACAUUAAAAUGGUGAGUUUGCAAUUAAGAGUUUUUUCCUGGAAAUAACAGACAAUAUGUCCAAGGUUGACGAUACUGAGGUUCGCACGCAAUUAAUGGGCCUCGAGACAAUAGAUCGGGAAUGCCGUACUUAAACCGACACUGGUGGACAAGUAGAAUAUACUAAGACGUAGAGAGAACCAUAUUAAAGGAACUCGGCAAAUUGCAUCUGUAACUUAGGGAUAAAGAUGGCCUUAUAUACUAUCGUGAAAGGGUUAAUUCUUUGAUUUAAAAAUUAUUUCAAGUGUUGUUUUGGGUUAAAGUUUCUAGUUUUUAGCUUGGGAUUUUGAUUUAAAACUUCGGUCAAGGUUUAAAUUUUAUUUAGGUAAUGUUUGCUGCGAUCUUAAAAUUCUUCUGGAAUUUUAAAACUUGUUGUAACGUUUAGGUUAUAAGGUUAAUUUCGAUCCUUUAGCCUCUGUAAGGUAGCAUAAAAAAGGAAGCAGCGACUGUUUAACAAAAACACAGGACUCAGCAAAAUAGUAAUGUGAUGUAUUGGGUCUGACGCCUGCCCGGUGCUGAAGAAUAAUAGGAAGGGUUAAUAAUUUUUUAAAUUAGAAUGCUCCGAAUUAAAAAUUUAGUAAACGGCGGCCGUAACUAUAGAAAUAUUGUAGUUGUAAAAUUUAGCUAUAUGCUGGAAAGUUUUAAUGAUCUUUUUUUACUCGUUAUAUUUUAUUUUGUAAAUAUUCAAAAUAAAAUUAUUAUGACAGUUCUAAUACUGAGGAAUAUAAUAGUUAAAUUUGGUAAAUUUAGUAUAAAAGUGAAAAUGAAAAAGUGAAAAAUAAUCAGCAGGAAAGACUUAUAUAUUAGUUAGUAAAUUAUUUAAAAUGAUAUGGUAAAUAAAAAUAAAAUUUCAAGAGAAUUAGGUUAUUAUUUAGCAGGAUUUGUAGAUGGAGAAGGUUCUUUUUUUACAAUUAUUCGAGAACGUAAAGAUUAUAAAAUAGGGUGGCGUUUUUCUAUUGGUUUUAAUGUUGCAAAUAAAGAUAUAGUCAUUUUAUCUUUAUUAAAAAAGGCAUUAAAUUGUGGUAAGUUACGCAAACGUAAAGAUGGUGUUUAUAUUUAUCAAGUUGAUAGUUUAAGAGCUAUUACUGAAAAUGUAAUUCCUUUUUUUAAGACCUAUUCAUUUUUAUCUGCUAAGAAGAAACAUGAAUUUGUUAUUUUUCAAAAAUUAUGUGAAUUAAAGUUAAAUUGGACUUCUUCUAAGGAUCAAAUCUUGCAAUUUUUAAUAUUACGAAAACAAUUGAGUUUUUUUCGAAGUUUUUGUUCUAAAUCGAAAUAUACAGAUGAUUUCAUUUUAAAUAGUAUGAAAAAUAUUUAAGAAUCCUCAGAGACUAUACGCUAAACUUUUUAAAUUUUUAGAGAGAUGAUAUAGUCCGGUCUUUAUUGAGAAAUAAAGGUUUUAUAUUUAUAUAUAAAACGUAAGUAAAUUAUCUAAUUAUUAUUAAAUUAUUACUUAUUAACAUAAACGAACGGUCCUAAGGUAGCAAUAUAGCUCAUACCAUGUUUAAUGGUUUCGCAGCCUUAGUAAAACUAUACUGUAUGCUGGAAAAUCCUCAUAAAAUGAAAUAUUUUAAUUUAAGUUUAUUUUUUCUUAAAUACAGCCUUUUAGUACAUAAAAAUUAUUAUUUUUAUUGUGAAAAUCUAAAGGACAAGGGGGCAAUCAGCAGGAAACUAUAUAUUUAUAGGAUCCUCAGAGACUUUACGUAUAGGUUUUUUAAUUAUAUUUAAAUUUUGAGUAUUAUGAAUUUAGAUGCGCAAUGGAUAGUAGGUUUUGUUGAUGGUGAAGGUUGUUUUCAUAUUAGUAUUAAUAAUACAAAUCAAGUUCUUCCUGAGUUCGUAGUUACUCAGCAUGAAAAAGAUAUUCAAGUUUUAUAUGCUUUAAAGAGUUAUUUUUCUUGUGGAGUUGUACGAAAACAACACUCGAAUAUUUUUUGUUAUCGAACUCGAAGUUAUAUUGAUUUAUGUGAAAAAAUAAUACCUUUUUUUGAAAAACAUCAAUUAAAAACUAGAAAACGUGUAGAUUUUCAAAAAUUUCGUCGUAUUUUAUUAAUGAUGCAAGAUAAAAAACAUUUAACUCGAGAGGGUUUUGAUGAAAUUUGUAGAAUUGUAAAAUUAUGGCGCUGUUCAAAAAAGAAGGAAAUGAUUAAAGAAUAAGAUCAAGUCCAUCUUCUUAAUUUGUUUUUUGGAAUAUUUUUGUUAAUAUUUCAUUUUUUUUAAAGAAAAUAAAUUAUUUAUUGAAAAAUAGAAGGUAAAAUGAGCGAAGUUCCUUGUCAAGUAAGUUUUGACCUGCAUGAAUGGCGUCACGACUGCUUCGCUGUCUCUAAUAUGGUCUCAGUGAAAUUGAAUUCUUCGUGAAGAUGCGAAGUACCCGAACAUAGACGAGAAGACCCUAUGCACCUUUACUGUAUUUAUAAAUUGGGAAAGUAUAUAAAUUGUGUAGGAUAGGUGGGAGAAUUCUUGUUUCAAUAAAAGGAAAAAACAAGAAUUCAUCGGUGAAAUACCACUCUGUUUAUAUGUUUUCUCUAUCAACCAGAAAAUAAAUUACGCUUGUUCAAGAUGAUAUUUAAGUUUUGAAUUUAGCGUAGGGACAGUUUAUAAUUGACAGUUUGACUGGGGCGGUCGUUUUCUAAAGAGUAACGAAAACGUACGAAGGUAAGUUCAAGUUGGACGGAAACCAACUGAAGAGCGUAAUAGUAUAAACUUGCCUGACUGUAAGACUUACAAGUCGAGCAGAAACGAAAGUUGGUUAUAGUGACCCAGGAGUACUUUAUGGAAAGGCUCCUGCUCAUCGGAUCAAAGGUACGCUAGGGAUAACAGUUUAAUGACUUCCAAGAGCUCAUAUCGACGAAGUUGUUUGACACCUCGAUGUCGACUCAUCUUAUCCUCGAGCCGAAGCGGGUUCGAAGGGUUCGGCUGUUCGCCGAUUAAAAAGGUACGUGAGUUGGGUUCAGUUCGCCGUGAGGCAGACCGGCUUCUAUCUUGUUCGGGAGUUUAAAAAUUGAGAGGGGGGUUUCUUUGUACGAGAGGACCAGAAACCACAAAUCUCUGGUGAACCAGUUGUUUUGCCAAAAGCAUAGCUGGGUAGCUACAUUUGGAAUAGAGAACCGCUGAAAGCAUCUCAAGCGGGAAACUAGCCUCAAUACAAGUUUUGGCGAUGAUGUACAUCAAACAAGCCAUUUAAUCAUUAAAGAUAGGAGGUAAUACUUUAAUAUCGAUAUUAAAUGGUAUAACUAUAUUAUAGUUAUGGUACUCGAUUAUUUUAUGCCGUCCACGUAGAAGAUUACUACGUAAGAUAGGUGGAAUGUGUAACAAUAGUAAUAUUUGCGCUAAUCCAUACUAAAGUUCUUAGAUCU
rnacentral:rRNA from 1 species